GGAAAUACAGAGGGCAGAAGUUGUUGGAAGGUGUCAGCUGCAGGCUCUUCCUCCCAAGCCUCCUUCGGGGUGGGCGGGGAUGUGAACUGAGACCUUUUGCAAAUAAUCCAGGCUGAGAUCCAGGUGGCUGCUCAGGGCUUCAUAGACAAGUUUAUCUGAGGAACAAGAAGAGGGCAUGAAGGAAGAGAAUUCUUUAAUUUUAUACCUCUCGUGCUAGGAACUAUAAUUCAUUACUUUAUUUACCUCCGAAAACAGCCUCAUUUUAUACACAUGAGAAAACUGAGCCUCAAACAGUCAAGAAUUUGCUGGUGGAUCCAGGUUUCAAGACAGGUGAGACCCAACCCCCGUGCGUGUUCGGUGUGCUCCGUUGAGAUGUCCGGGAUGGCUGAGCUCAUGGUGAAACCUCAGCAAAGCUGCGGAGCUGAGGAGCAGAGCCCACACCUGUACUUGGAAUGUCAAAUCCUCCCGCCUUGUCUGAAGCAGCCGUCUGGAGCUUUCUUUGGUGUCCCUACACUCCAGCCUCUCCUGGGUGACGACGUCACCUGGCUCCAUCUAGGAAGCCGUGAUUUUGAGGGUCUGCAGGGCUGUGUGUACCUGGGACACUUGGCUUGCUCUUUGGAUGGUCAGGCCUGGGAUGGACCCGAGCAAAGUCAGGAUAGAUACGCUGUCAAUGUCCACCCCUGACAAAAGGGGGGUUGGCCUGAUGCUCAUGGCUCUUACAGGCCAGAAGUCUGCCCAUCACUUUGACACCUGGAACAGCCCCCUCUUGCAGUGGGAGAAAGGAGUCUAUGUAAAAUGCUCCCACAAUCACAGACUGGGGUCAGACUAGAUCACGCAGAGAAGGGCCAUUCCUGGCUCCUUCCGUCUCCCAGUCCUCACCGCUCAGGCCCCGUCACGGCCCGACAGCCUCCAACAAGCCUCCUUCACUGGACCUGCUACUGUUGAGUUGAGUCCUUGGUUUCUGCAUCUGCACAAUUCACUCUGUGCACAGCCGCCGAGCUGGGAGCAACCAGCUCUUAUCUAGGCCAGGGGUUUGAGCAGCAGAACAAAAUCCCAGGUGAACAUAAGCCCCGUGCAUAGAACAGAUAAAAAUGGAGGGCGGGGUGAAUUAAAACAAGGGUGGUGGGCAACUCUGUCAUCCUCAUACCACCCACAACCAGGGCCCUUUGC
rnacentral:lncRNA from 1 species